rnacentral:rRNA from 1 species
UACGUAGGGGGCUAGCGUUGUCCGGAAUCAUUGGGCGUAAAGCGCGUGUAGGCGGUCCGGUAAGUCCGCUGUGAAAGUCGGGGGCUCAACCCUCGAAUGCCGGUGGAUACUGUCGGGCUAGAGUGCGGAAGAGGCGAGUGGAAUUCCUGGUGUAGCGGUGAAAUGCGCAGAUAUCAGGAGGAACACCAAUUGCGUAGGCAGCUCGCUGGGACGUUACUGACGCUGAGACGCGAAAGCGUGGGGAGCAAACAGG